GAAAUGCGAUAAGUAAUGUGAAUUGCAGAAUUCCGUGAAUCAUUAAAUCUUUGAACGCAAAUUGCACUUCUUGGUAUUCCGAGGAGUAUACUUGCUUGAGGGUUGGUCUACAAAAAAAUCGUGAAAUUUUUUUUUCGCGGACCUGGGUUUUCCAAAGAAUUUUGGUAACCUUAAAUUUAUCUUAACAAUCUUUAGGUAUUUAAUAUUAGAAAUGGUUUAUCUUACAUAUUGUAAGUUCAUUGAUAAUUAUACCAAUUGUUACAUCGCGUUAUUCGCCUAGUAUUUUUCGAUUAGGUGAAAUAAUUCAACAUUUUUAAUCCUACCUCAAGUCAAGUAAGAAUACCCGCUGAACUUAA
rnacentral:misc_RNA from 1 species